rnacentral:rRNA from 1 species
GAGUGUGUUCAAGAGUACGUGAAACCGUCUGGGAGUAAACGGGUGGUUCCCGAAAGUACGAAAGGGGAGAUUCAGGUCUCGCUGCGCGUCGGGCGGCGCCCGCGAUCAGAGAUGGUGUUCUCGCGGCCGGGGGGCGACCCUCGGUCCGGGGNNNGNUNCACUCCGCGGGCGCCGGUGUUCCCGGCGCCGGAGUGACGCACUUCUCCCCCAGUNGAANGUCGNGACCCNUCGGGNNCCGGNGU